AUUGUACUCCCUCCAUCGCAAAUUAGUUGUCUUCGAUUUGUCUAGAGACGGAUGUAUCUAGACAUGUUUUAGUGUUAGAUACAUCCGUAUAUAGGCAAGUCUAAGACAACUAAUUUGGGACGGAGGUAAUACUAU
rfam:Triticum aestivum genome assembly, contig: Triticum_aestivum_CS42_TGACv1_scaffold_642339_T_7AL-0.237368_7DL-0.131937